AUUCUCACAAGUCUAUAAGAGAGGUAGAGCUGGUACACCAAAGAAGCUAGCAGUUCCUAACUCUUCAAUGAAACAGGCAUCCAGAAGUGUGUGCUCAACAACCGGGAUCACUAGAUUGUGGCUACUACGUCAUGCGUUUUAUGUACGACAUAAUAAUGAAUCAUGGUAAUAGUCAAGAUCUUACUAAGGAUUUUUCAAGAACAUUGCCUUAUUCACCGGAGGAGAUUAAUGAGGUGAAAGAUUUUUGGGCAGAUUACUUCAUGAACAAUGUCGAAUUUUUAGCUUAAUUUGUAAUAUGAACUCGAUCUCUAGCUAGCUACGUACCUUUUGUAAUAAUUUUAUGUUUGUUGUAACAUGUUGGUUGAUCUAUGACGAAUUUAAUUGCCUUUUAUUGGGAACGUUAA